CCAUGCGGCGGCCUUAUCAUGCAGUCGAGCGCAACAAUCAUAUGCUUGCUCUCCGGCGUCGAGAGGCGGACGGGUGAGUCACACUUGAGGAUCUACCUAGUAGUGCGGGAUAGCUCGGGUAGACUCACAUUAAUACCGCAUACCACCUACGGGAUAUAGGGGGCGAUUUACUGCUCUCGCUAUUAGAUGAGCCUCAGUCGGAUUAGCUAGAUGGUGGGGUGAAGGCCUACCAUGGCGACGAUCUGUGGCUGGUCUGAGAGGAUAAUCAUCCACACCGGGACUGAGACACGGCCCGGACUCCUACUGAAGGCAGCACUGGACAAUAUUGGACAAUGGGGGCAACCCUGAUCCAGCCAUGCCGAGUGUGUGAAGAAGGCCUUUUGGUUGUAAAGAACUUUGAUCACUGAACAAAACCAUAUGGUUAAUACCCAUAUGCGAUGACAUUAGCUGCGGAAUCACCUCCGGCUAACUCUGUGCCAGCACCCGCGGUAAUACCGAGGGUGCAAGCGUUAAUCGCAAUUACUGGGCGUAAAUGCUCAGCGUAUGUGGCUUGAUAAGUCACGAUGUGAAAUCCCCGGUGCUUAACCUGGGAACUGCAUCUGAUACUGUUAAGCUAGACUAUGUGAGAGGGAAGUAGAAUUCCAUGGUGUAGCGGAGAAAUGCUUAGAGAUCUGGAGGAAUACCCAUGGAGAUGGCAACUUCCUGGCAUCAUACUGACACUGAGGCUCGAAAGCGUGGGUAGCAAACAGGAUUAGAUACCCUGGUAGUCCACGCCGUAAACGAUGUGUACUAGUUGUUGGAGAACUUGAUUCCUUAGGACGCGAAGUAACGCCAUAAAUCACUCGCCUGGGGAGGACGGGUGCAAGGGUAAAAAUCAAAAGAAAUGACGGGGGCCCGCACCAGCGGUGUGAACCAGUGUGUUUAAUUUGAAACAACGGGGAGGACCUUACCCGGUCCUGACAAUUCUCGAAUCCUGCAGAGAUGACGGGCGUUCCCUUUGGAAGUCGAAUACAGCAGGUGCAUCACGGUCGUCAUCUCCUGUCGUGAGAAGAUGGGGUAAGUACUGCAGCGAGCACAACCCCCCUCGUCAGUAGCCACCAGCAUAAGCCGGGACAUUUAAGGAAGACUCCAGUGGCCAAACGGAAGAAAGCGGGGGAGAAGGCAAGUCAUCCAGGCCCUUUCGGCCAUGGCUACCCCCCGGGUUCCAAUGGUACGUACCGAGGGCAGCGACACACGCGAGGUGAAGCGCAAAUCUCAAAAAACCCGAUCGCAUCUCAGAUUGGCAGUGUGCCAACUCGACUCCAUGAAGUAGGGAAAUCGCUAGUAAAUCGCGAGAUUCAGACAUGCCGCGGUGAAUACGUUCCCGGGCCUUGUACACACCGCCCGUCACACCAUGAGAGUUGAUGCACCAGAAGUGUUAGCCGUAACCGUAUAGGACGCAGAUCACCAACGGGGGGCAAAAUG
rnacentral:rRNA from 1 species